UGCGCUUUCCCGCAGGGUUUGGAUCGGUUUCCUAAACCGUGUGUCGGAGGUUCGAAUCCUCUCGGGGCCACCA
rnacentral:tRNA from 1 species